CACCAACUUGUUUCUGCUUCCAAGAGUGACAGGAAAUCUGAGACUCCAGAAAAGUUAAACGUGUGUUCAGGCUCACCCAGCUAAUAAGUGAGUGAAGCAGGAUUUGAAUCCACAUUCAUCUGACUCCGUGGGACGUUAGAAGGAUACUUCUCUAAUUAGGAAGAGAAACAGAGACUGAAACAUAGAGUGGCCACCCAGCCUCACACAGCUAGACACUUGAAUUUGGACAGACAAGCAACCCAGCCACCUUUCAGUGUGGCUGUGUCAGUAUCGGAAUGAAAUGAACAUGACCCCCUCCAGCAGGGAAGGGAACACACA
rnacentral:lncRNA from 10 species